CUCAACACUACAAGGAAUAAUAUAUAUCGGGGAUGAGUACGAAUGGUACUCAACAAGUCCAACUAUAGCAAUCCAACAAAUACAUGCCCAUCAUCCACCUGCAUAAUACAUAUAUCUCCAAAUCCCAUAAUUCAACAAGGAAUUUAUGCAAGUUCAUAAAACAGUAUAGUAAAAGUUCAUAUUAAGUAAUUAUAAAAUCUACUGCAUAUAAGGCACCACAGGUAUUAGAACCUCCGAUAGGUUCCUUUCCUGCCGCGUUCGCAGUUUCUACCCGAAACAGCGAGUGACAUAUCAUAAUUCAUACACUCUGCAGAGGUGUGUCGCUGUACCCACAGACGCCUUCAACGUUUUAAUGCCCACGCCCGUCGGCGCUUGAAGCACACUUCAAGGUGUAUGCCGGCAAGGCUAAGGUCACAAGCUUUUCAUCAAUCCCAUAUGGCAAUUAUCUCUGCGGGUGAUUCCCGCAACAACGGUGAAUCAUUGGAUCCCGCAACAACGGCGAUCCACAUCAUCUAAUCGGAUUCCGUAACAACGGCAACCCUCAUCGCUAGCCCACGCUCACGGGAUUCGCGGAAGUCCUUAAGCCCGCAGGAUAAAGCCAUUAAGAAAGAACUACUAAGCCAGCCUGUCCCAUUCCAGGUCAUAUGGUCGACACGAUCGCUACGGCGCUUGAAUGCCAUAUAAUAGUUGUUGUUUAACCUUAUGAUGAUAAAUAUAUGCAACUGAACCCCCAUCACAUGGCAAGUUCAGAAUACAUCUAUAGUAUGACCGACUGCUCCACCAGUCAAUCCAAUCCAUCGGCAUAUUUAUUUUAAUCAUAGAAAGUAUAAUUUAAUGCAAGGUGAUACAUAUAGAUUUCAAUUACGAAAAUAUAACAAGAGUCGAUCAAAGGUGUUGGACUUGCCUGAGAUACCCAAAAUUGAAGAACGAAUAAACCAACGAAGACUUCCAAGAAAUCCGAGAUAAACGCCCAACUGAAAUAGUACAAUGGAGCAAAACUAAAUACGAGAACAUUGAUAUGAAUGCGGUGCACAUGAUAUGUUUAACAUGAAUGCACAUGAUAGGUUAUGGACUUGCUUUUAUUAAACUUUUAUUUUAAGAAAGAGUAGUUAUUUUACUUAAAAUAAAUUUUGCUUCUCUAGAGAGAAAUAUAUUUAAUAGCCACAAGUUAUAUUGAUUUAUAUAUAAAUAUACAUCUUUACUUUCUUUGAUCAACAAAGUAGUUCAUAAGAUAUAUUUUGAAGGAAAUACUUCUAUUUGGAUUAUGAUAUACAAAGUUAAGUUGUAUAUCAAGAUUUUCAAGAACAGUGACUGUAAUAAUAUAUCAAGAUUUUCAAGAAUUUAUUUUAAAGAGUUUAAACCAAUUUUAAAUAUAUUCUAUAAUAAUUUCUUUUGUAUCUAAGCUCUACUUCUCAAUUUCUUUAAUUUCCACCAUCUGCAGCCCAUUAGCAAAAGCCCAACAAAACUCAACCCACCUAACCCACCUUCUUCCUCUUCUCUCUUUUUCUCGUUCUUCUUCUCUCCUUCACGCUCUCUCCCAGCGCCGCCGCUCACACCGCCGCUCCACCUCACGCCACCCGCUGCUCCCUGCCUCUGGCAGCCGCCCCACAGUCACCGCCGCAUGUGGACCCCCGUUUUUAUAAUAGGAAUCAAUCGUGUAAACAGUACCAUUUCCCUGGAUCAAGAGUCUGAUACACACGAAUUCAUAGCUGUAAUACCAAGUGCACAUACACGAGUGUCUAAUACGAAUUAUUACAUCAUAAGCCCGCAGGCGUAGUCUUAAAUCAUCGGACCGAGCGGUCCGGAAUACAUCCCAAAAGCAGAAAUAGAUAAGACAGCGGAAUUCAGGCAGUGGCAUGCCAUUGCCAUAGGCAACGACCGUACUAAGACCUACUGAGCGCCAUCGUCUUCAUCUCCCUCCUGGUAGUAGGCAUAGGGAUCCUCCGAGGCUUCAUCUCCCGCUUCUGAUUAAUUUUAUAUUUGCAAGGGUGAGUACCAACCGUACUCAGCAAGCCACCACAACAACAAUGCAUAUGAUAGAGGGUAUUUCAAGGAAUGGCUUCAGGUUCUUUUGCAUAAAGCUAAUUUUACAAUUCUUUUCACAAGCCUAAAACCUAGCAUAGACUGAUCAAAUUUUAGUACCAGUGUUCACUUUAAACAACAACGGUUCUGUCCACCAUCCAUUGUGAUCCCAAGGAUAGCUUCCCGCCAUUGAAUCGUCAUGGUUUUCUGAGGAUGUCCACCUUCCCUCCUCUCGGGAAGUGGCUCCAUCAGCAUAAAAUUCAUCAUGCAAUAUCCCAUCCCCCACAAGUUGAGAAUUUAGAGUCUAGCCAAGUGUAAUACAUGUCCCGGUGCUCAAUAACCGCGAGCACGGCUAUUCGAAUAGAUUUGGUUUACUCACACUGCAGUGGAUGUACACUUUACCCGCACUCCGCGACUGCCCAACACAUGAGCCUCGUCCCAACACAUGAGACGCGUCACGGCAAAGCUUUUCGAUAACCUCGCAUUGGCAGUAUCCGCUUCAUGAACUUAAAUCCUCAUGCACUCUAGGCGUCCAUGUUUCUAGCAGUGAGAGGAGUUCUGGCGCUCCCGGGAAAGAGAAGUCUCACACACAUAUUAAAUUAUGGUUCAAGUUAAGUUCUCUCUCUCACACACUCAUAGCAGUCCUACCAAUGGCGACACCGAUGUAGGGCACGCCUCUCGGCCCUACCUCAACGGCUGUCCCACCGUAGCGCACCUGCCUCACUCAGGGGUGAACCAUCUAUGCAGGGAUACUGCCUCCGCUCGGCUAUCUAAUCCGCUAGGUCUAUACCCAUACGAGAAGUGCGGUUGUACGGGGGUCGUUUCAUGCUUAACUUCAUGGCUCGGUCCUUAAUUGACCGGGGACGGUACUAGCCUUUUCCAGAUACCACCCAAAUCCUCCGUCCGCCCCAGUCGAAAACAGUUGUUUAAUUUUAUUUCUCCUUUCACAAAUCGUGUCAUCAACAUCAUGGCAAUGUGGCGCUCAUGUCUCCACAUGCCGCAUCUCAAUUACCUUCCCAAAGGUAAUUGCCCAAGCAUAUAGCAUUUGAUAAAUAUGAGUAUGCAUGAUUCUAGAAUAGCAUUUCUAAUCAAUUGUCAUAGUUGACUAGGGACUCAUACGUAAACAUGGUUACAAAGACUUAAGGGUAAACAAUAAUCAAGGCAUGGCAUAAUCACAAGUAGGAUGUUCAUCAUUGCAUGCAAUUUUAUUUAUAAACAAAACAAUUUCGCAAUUGGGAUCAACAUGUUCAAGGAAUAGUGAUGACUUGCCUUGCUCAGGAUAGUCCUUAUUCUUGAUAUAAUUCUUGAUCAACCUUCACCUCCCGGAAGUUGCUGACGUUGCCUCACGACUAACCGAUACAUAAAUUCUAUAACACGCAAGAAAAACCAAUAUUCAAAUAACAACCAAAUAUGCACAACAAAAUAUACUAUUCAUGUCUACUAAUGGAUUCCAAUCACGCUAGGGGCUAAGGUUUCUUAAUCUUUCUAUUGUCAACGUGGCCUAUUUAGGAGUUAACCAACAUAGCAUUUAUAGGAUACAUAUAUAUUUGGCUAAUCGGUGGUUUAGUCUAUCAAAUGGCUAUGGAAGGAUUAUGGCUAAGCAUGCAUCUAUCUACAUAGGACGGUUAUUUACUAGAGGUUCUGUUGUCAGAUGGAUUUAGGAUCAAUCAAAUAAUUACAGUGAAUCAUUUGUAUUAUUUAUUUUAUUGAUGGAAGCUUUACUUUUACUUUAAUUAUGAACAUAUUUUACUUGUCACAAUAAAUUAUAAAAGGUUAAUAAUUAUCCAUGCUUUGUAUGUUAGAGUUGUUUAGGUUAAUCAUAUUAUGGUUACAGAUUAUCCCAUCAUAUAAUUUUACAAUGAAUAAUCCUAAUUUACAGUUGAACUAUAAUUAUAAUUAUAUGAGGUCAAGAUUUAUAACUAGUAUUUAUCUAAUAUACAUGUUUGUCAUACACUCACUCUUAAUUUAAUAUAUGCAACACGCAAAUUAAUACUAUACCGUACCACUAUAAUGGGAUAUAUAGUAUAUGUGUAAGCAACAAUAUCUUAUUAUUGGAUCAUAUAUUUGAGUAGUUGCUUUUUACUGUAAGCUAUACAAUACAUGUUGAUUUUAAGAUGGCCCUGUUUGGUUAACUAAUGGAUAUCAACCGACUAUAUACAUAUAUUCUACUUCACAUGACAUUGUAUCGACAAAUUUUUAAGUGGUCCAAAUACAACUAGCUCUGUGAUUACUCUCCGAAACAAGUUAAAGAUUCACCUAUGUGUGUUUAUAUUUUAGUUACAAAAUAUGAGGCUAAACUUUAUGUAAACAAUUUAUAAGUCAUGGAUUUAGUUAUAUUUGGACAUAGACUAGUAAAUGGCACUAAUAUUUUCCUAUACACCCAUUAAUUUGAAGGAUUGAUUAUAACUAAUUUAUUUAGUUGCUACAGUGACAAGACAUGUUAAAGAUAAUUAUGCUACUGUACAAUAUCCAUUUUUAUUCAUUGGCACACUAUUUAGGUUAACUAUUAUCUAAUCAUUUGAUAUUAAUUAAUUUAUAAUUAUAAAUAUAUUUUGUUAAAUAGUGAGUUAUAUAUUAUUGAAAAGCUUAUGAAUUUAGAUGAAUUUAGGUUCAAGUUUCACUUAAAUCCGAGUUAAAAUGAAUAAGUUAUGCUAGUGUAAAGAUUCAAAUUUGAAUUAAUCCGAGAAAUUGCGAAAAGCUACUGUUCAUAAACGAUUUAUUUUUAAUCCAAGACAUAUCCACAGCCUUGUACCAACUGACAAGUGGGACCCCGGGUUUAUUCCUUUUUCCUACCAAAUUAUUUUCUAAAGGGAAAUAGGAAGAGCUAAUGACAAGUGGGGCCCACAUGUCAUAGACUCAAGACCAUAAAACUUCUAUAAUUAGAUUUUUAACCGCCCGGACCCACAUGUAAUAGACACUACUAAUAAGGAUUAAGAAGGGGGUUACUAUUCACCAAUUACGUGGGGCCCACUCUAAUCUCUCCUCUCCUUCCUCUCUCUUUCUUCUUUUCUCUCUUUCUCUCCCUCCCGGCUUCUUCUCCCUCCUCUCUCCCACGGCUCUCUGGCGACGGCGACCGAGCAAGGGGAGGAGGCGGCGGCUUACUGACGGCGGCGGCAGCGACGGCGGCGCAAGGCGGCGACGCACGGCGCGGCACUCGGCGCGGCGCGGCGGCUUCGAGGCGACGGCGCGACGGCACGUAGGCGGCGGCACGGUGGAGAGAAAGGGGGAAAGAAAGGAAGGGAAGGAGGGGGUGAUGUGGGAUGGAAGGGCGACCGAAGGGGAUUUAUAGGGCGCGGGGGAGGGACGGCCGGCUCCAUGGCGAUGCGACGGCACGCGGCGCGUGGGGCGCGAGGCGGCGGGCGCGCGGCGCGAGGCGUGACGGCGACGGGCGCGCGGCUCGGGGCUCGGCGGGCGGUGAUGGUGACGGGCGACGCGACGGCGACGGCGGAGCGUCGACGGGACGGCGACGAGGCGAUGGGACGACGCGGCGCGGCGCGGGGCUUGGCGCGCGGCGAUGGCGGCACGACGGCGACGGGCGACGUGAUGGCGACGGGGCGUGACGCGCGGAGGGGUGGGGCUCGAGGCGAUGCGACCGGAGACGGCGACGGCGCGCGGCACGACGAGCGCGAGGGGGCGCGGCAGUGGCGCACGCGGCAGCGGCGAAGUGACGGCGCGCGGCGGCUCGAGGCGCGAGGCGCGCGCGGGAGGGGGAGAUGGGACGGGGGCGCAGCGGGGCAGGGGCGCGGGGCACGAGGCGACGACGUGACGGCGACGACGAUGGCGCGCAGGGCUCAAGGCUUCGACGGCGACGGCGCGGCGGCGACGGCGAUGGCGCGCGGCGCGAGCUGGCGCGCGGCAGCGGCGCGGGCGACGACGAUGGCGACACGAGCGGCAUCGGGCAGGAGAAGGAGGAGGGCUAGGACGGCUAGGAACUAAAUCGGACUCCUAGGGGGCUAAUGAACCGUGCUAGCCGGCUAUUUAACCCUAUUUUAGCCUAUUUCCUAUAUAAAUUUUAUUCUAUAAAUCCUAAUUUUUACACAAAUGAGGUUUACCCAAUAUAUGUUUUAAUUUAGAUGAAAGUUUACCAAAUUUUAAUAUUACCCAUAUUUUAUUCUUAUAUAUUUUUUUCUAUUGUAUUAUUUAAAUGAGGUCUAAUUCUAAAAUUAGCCUAGAUAAUUUUGGAGGCUUUGAGGGUUCUAAAAUAUCCUAGUGUGGCCCUUUUUAUUACAAUAGCACAUUGAACGAACUUAUAGCAAUAUAUUUUAUACGGAUAGGUUGAAUCUAUUUAUUCUAUAAAUAGUAUAUUAAGACUCGGUACAACAUUAAUCUAAUUUUAAACACUCACAUAUUCUUGUUUAUAUAUAAGGAUUAAUUUAUUUAUAUGACCAUUAUUUUAUAUGAGUGAUUUUCAUGUCAUGAGUAACUCGGCGACAUGUUGCAAGUAUCGAUCUAUAUAUUCCGGUGAAUUACUUAUUUAUAAACACGAUCACUAUAGUGGUGAUCAUCAUUUCAUGUGUUCUUAUAUUUCAUGUGAGAUUGGAUUCAAAUGAAUUGGAUUUAAUCUUACUAUUUCUUUAGCUAAUUGUGACAUCAAGCUAUCAAUCAUGGUUCGAAUAUCUAAUACCUGAUUUGUAAUUUGUAAUAGAAAUUAAUAUUUGACUUUACUAUCUUGUGCAUAAUUAUUUGUAGGAUUAAAUAUAUUCUCAUAAAUUAUAUCUAUUGCUUAAAUAUCGAUCUUUUCUUUUCUUUCUUUGUGAUCAUUUACGGUUUGGCAAGCCAUAGCAAUCAUAACAACCAGCAUGAUGCGAAAAGUUUUAAAAAGUUUGAAAUUUUAGUGAUUUUUAUUGUCAGGGAUUUUCAGGAUGUUACACCGCAGUACCCAUUUAACUUGAAAUAUUAGCACAAUAUUAAUCUUAUCUUAAGCUCUUGAGGUUUAAUAGAGCAAUAGUUAUUUCUAAUUAUGCAUGCAUACAAAAUUAUCCUAUGAUGGCUUCACUGAGCAUUGAUUUAAAGAACUAUAUACAGAUAUAAUCCUUAACUCAAAUGCACUUGUAGAUCAUCAGAGAUAAUUCUUGCUGUUAACUAUGUAAUGAGAUAGCUGAUCUAUACUUGAAUUAUUCUUUUUAAGAAUCCACUAAAUUUAAGAUGAUACUAUAUUGUCCAAUUACUUAUAAAAACUAUGUCUUGAGCGCAUAUGAUGUACUAUGAUUUAAGUGCAGGUUUUGGUCUUCCUCAAAAAGCUAGAAUGCUUAAGCUUAAUUCCACAAAGAUGUAUAUGCAGUCACACACUCCUACACAUACUAGUAUAUGCUCAGAUUAAAAUACUUAUGCCUUGCCUAUCUCACUUAUGAGUCUUUCUUGAUCCCAGGUCUAUAUGCACAUGAUGCUCUCCAAAUAGAUAAACAGCAAUUGUUCUAUUAUUAAAUCAUGAAUGGCCUUGUUUAUAUCUAAUGAAGGCAGAUGCAUACCUAUAACUUCUAAUCAUACUAGAGCAUGCACAGAUCAAAGUAGAUGCCAUGUUUUAAUUUAAUUUUUCUUGAUUUAUCUACUCAACAAUCUUACCUUCAACUGUAUUCUGAUUUUGGUGAUGAUAUUUCCUGGCCUACUGAAUCCUCUUGAGCUUCCCUCAAUUAAUCUUCCUUUUUGUUAAUUAAUUUCUUUGCUAGUCCUAAUUCUUGGCAUCCUGCUGGAACUGCUACAGGUUGCUACUCCUCCUAGAGUUUGUUUGGCACCUUUUUGAGAUGAAAUCCCUUGCUUCCUCCUGAGCUUGAGCUGAAACCCCUUGCUCCACUUGUAAAUCAGGUACUUGUCCUCUUGUCUCUUGUUUUCCAGGUACUUCUUGACUGCUUCUUGCUAUCUUUCUCGAUCUGGUACUGGUGAUUCUCUUCCUCCUCUUGAAGCUCAUUCUCUUGCUUGAUUUUUGCUCCAUCUUGCUUAUUGACCUGAGUUUCUUGUUUCUUCUAAAUCUCAAGCAAGCACUGCUUCACCUCCUACUCCCUUGUCUUUCUCCCUCUCUCUGGUUGCUUGACCACAGAUGCUAUAGUUGAGCUGUGGUGUGGUUGAGGUAUAGAACUUUUAGUUGGUUAUUUCUCUUUCUCCCAAUCUCCACUGAUUUCCAGCCGUGGUUGCUUGCUGUUGCUGGGAUCUUACUACUACUAUGGCUGCUGUACUACUGCUCUGCUAGCUCGCUCUCCCUGGCUACUCUCUGAUUGCCUUCCCUUGGAUAAUACAAUGUGAUCUUGUAAGUUGUAUUGUCUCUCCAGAUGAACUACUAGCUACUGCUGCUGCUCAUUGCAGCCAAAAAUGGUAGUACUACUGCUCACCUUGGUCUCUACGACAGUAUAGCUUGGUUUGGGAGAAAUUUCACACUGAGAUGGUUAAUUUGGUGGAGCUGAACUAGUGACUCACCUGCUGGUUGUUUGGUGGCUUCAUGCAUGUUAGACACCUAACCAUAGCAUGCUCGGUGGAGGUGGAAUGAUGGAUAGAAUUUACUAAUUUUUAGUUUAAAUGGAAAAUCUGGUAAAGUAUGAUAUGUUUGAUACUUUUGCACUUGAGUCCCUCAAGUUUAGUAAAAUUGGAGGUUACUAUGAGUUUAGGGACUGAUAUUACACUGUAAUUUGCACGUAACUACAAUGUAACUUGUAUAUAUAAGUUUCAUGUAAUUUUAAAUCUUUAGAUCUAUUAUAAGAUUUGUUUUGGUGAGGAAGAAAAAUAAAAUCACAGCACACACAUAUGUGUAAGGAUUUGUUCCCACAACCUCUAUUUUACUGAAAUAACAUAUUACAUAGAGAUUUUUGAAAGUUACAUAUAAGUUACACUAUAGUUACAGUGUAAUUACAU
rnacentral:lncRNA from 1 species